AUGCUAGGUCGCUCGCCGCUCAGCCAGGGCACGGCGGCUCGCCUCACUCCUCCAUCCACGCCGCCCCACUGCCUCGACGCCGGUGCCGAGGAGGCAAGGAGAAGCUCGUCCUUGGUCCACGCGCGCCGAGGAGGUCGUGAGGGGGGCACCAGAGUUCGCCUGAGACAGUCAUUUUCGUCUCCUCGCCACUGGCAGGUGGUCGUCGAUGUCCGCCAGCCGGCAAGCCAUCGGCUCGUCGCCGGCCGCCCCCCAUACAAAUCUGGCUACUGGAUUCUAUUUGUUCUUCUGAGUAAUUACAAUGGUUGUUUGACUUGGAGUUGGGACUCAAAAGGCUAG
rnacentral:rRNA from 1 species